UACGGGGGAGCAAGCGUUGUUCGGAUUUACUGGGCGUAAAGGGCGCGUAGGCGGCGUAACAAGUCACUUGUGAAAUCUCCGGGCUUAACCCGGAGCGGCCAAGUGAUACUGUUGUGCUAGAGUGCGGAAGGGGCUACUGGAAUUCUCGGUGUAGCGGUGAAAUGCGUAGAUAUCGAGAGGAACACCAGUGGCGAAGGCGGCUUCCUGGCCUGUUCUUGACGCUGAGGCGCGAAAGCUAGGGGAGCAAACGGG
rnacentral:rRNA from 1 species